rnacentral:rRNA from 1 species
UACGUAGGGAGCAAGCGUUGUUCGGAUUUACUGGGCGUAAAGGGCGCGUAGGCGGCCUGUCAAGUCAAUUGUGAAAUCUCCGGGCUUAACUCGGAACGGUCAAUUGAUACUGUCAGGCUAGAGUGCAGAAGGGGCAUCGGAAUUCUUGGUGUAGCGGUGAAAUGCGCAGAUAUCAGGAGGAACACCGAUGGCGAAGGCAGCUCGCUGGGACGGUACUGACGCUGAGGCGCGAAAGCGUGGGGAGCAAACAGG